AUACGUAGGUGGCAAGCGUUGUCCGGAAUUAUUGGGCGUAAAGCGCAUGUAGGCGGUAAUUUAAGUCUGUCGUGAAACUGCGGGGCUCAGCCCCGUAUGGCGAUGGAAACUGGGUUACUUGAGUGCAGGAGAGGAAAGGGGAACUCCCCGUGUAGCGGUGAAAUGCGUAGAUAUUGGGAAGAACACCGGUGGCGAAGGCGCCUUUCUGGACUGUGUCUGGCGCUGAGAUGCGAAAGCCAGGGUAGCGAACGGGAUUAGAUACCCCGGUAGUCCUGGCCGUAAACGAUGGGUACUAGGUGUGGGAGGUAUCGACCCCUUCCGUGCCGGAGUUAACGCAAUAAGUACCCCGCCUGGGGAGUACGGCCGCAAGGCUUAAACUCAAAGGAAUUGACGGGG
rnacentral:rRNA from 1 species